rnacentral:rRNA from 1 species
AACGAACGCUGGCGGCAUGCCUAACACAUGCAAGUCGAACGAAGCCUUCGGGCUUAGUGGCGCACGGGUGCGUAACGCGUGGGAAUCUGCCCUUGGGUUCGGAGUAACAGUUGGAAAUGACUGCUAAUACCGGAUGAUGUCUUCGGACCAAAGAUUUAUCGCCCAAGGAUGAGCCCGCGUAGGAUUAGGUAGUUGGUGGGGUAAUGGCCCACCAAGCCGACGAUCCUUAGCUGGUCUGAGAGGAUGAUCAGCCGCACUGGGACUGAGACACGGCCCAGACUCCUACGGGAGGCAGCAGUGGGGAAUAUUGGACAAUGGGCGAAAGCCUGAUCCAGCAAUGCCGCGUGAGUGAUGAAGGCCUUAGGGUUGUAAAGCUCUUUUACCAGGGAUGAUAAUGACAGUACCUGGAGAAUAAGCUCCGGCUAACUCCGUGCCAGCAGCCGCAGUAA